rnacentral:rRNA from 1 species
UACAGAGGGAGCUAGCGUUGUUCGGAAUUACUGGGCGUAAAGCGCGCGCAGGCGGCCAUUCAAGUCAGGUGUGAAAUCCCGGAGCUUAACUCCGGAACUGCAUUUGAAACUGGGUGGCUAGAGUAUGGUAGGGGAGAGGGGAAUUCCUAGUGUAGCGGUGAAAUGCGUAGAGAUUAGGAGGAACACCAGUGGCGAAGGCGCCUCUCUGGGCCAUUACUGACGCUGAGGCGCGAAAGCGUGGGGAGCAAACAGG